UAAAAAAAGGAAAGAAAUCUCAGAUUCCAGCUUCUUGAAUGUGAAUGUUUUCUAAUUUCUGCACUGCAAUGUGACAGUAAACAAAAUCUAUUUAAGUUGUGGACAAAACAAGACAUUUAAGGGACAUCAUCUUGGGUUUUGGGUAACACUGAUUGACAUCUUCUGACAACUAAUCCAUUAAUCAAGACAAUAUCCACCUAUAACUAAUGACAACAAUGAAAAUAAUUCUUAGCUGCAGGCCCUCUUCUCGCCUCUGGUUGUUGUUACUAAUGGAAAAGCACCGCUCCAACUGUCUCUGGGUAAAAAACAAAGGGCUGCUUAUACAGUGCAGACACUAAGACACCAGUAAGACGUCUUAUGUUCAAUUCCAAAGUGUAAAAAAAGUGAUUUACAUAUCAUACUGUUUAUUCCCAAACAAAUAAUUAACAUUCAUGAAAAUUCAGUUUUUAUGAGGGGUAUCUGUAGGGUACUCAAAUAUACAUACUUACGUUCAUCCAGUGACAUUUCUCUCUCAUUCUUUUCCGUCCUUGACCUCUUCGUUCAUCGCUUUCACUUUUCCUUCACCUUCCUUUAAUCAUUCAGUCUCUGCAGGAAUGGGUUAUGUUUCACAGCAACAACAAUAAAAUUCCCCCAGGCGGGGCAUGUGGGUUGGAAGUUAGUUUACUUUCAGAUGCUGUUUGAUUUAAUCAUUCAACGCUCCCAUCGGAAAGAAGCACUCUUGAGUUUCUGAAGACAGAUCAACUUCCAAGAUGUCCUCCCUGUGGUUGUAUCUGACUCUGCUCUAUGCUGCCAGUUUUGUACAAAACAGUGCCUCAUCAGGUUCAGGAGUGACACUGAAGUGCAACGAAACCGUGGAAGUUGAAGCUGGAGAAAUGGUGACACUAAACUGCACUAUAACAUAUUCCGGUUUGGACAAACCACAGGACUGUGAAUGUUUAAGUUAUUCCUGGAAUAACAUUGAGAUCAUACCAUGCAGGCAAGACAACGGGUUGGAUAGUGUGACUUAUGUGUCGCUCACCCUCUCAAAUGUCACAAAAAACGGAACUUACACCGCUACCAUCAAAACAGACUGCGGUCGGGCUACAUCAUCUCCUAUAGAAGUACAAGUUAUCCAGCUCGGCGACGGUGAUCGCAUGGAGCAUUCCAACAACACCCACGAUGUUUAUUUUUUUCUUGCCAGGUGAAACCAUGUCAACACAUGUGCCAGCCAAAGCCAGGUCAAGACAUGUGCCAGCCAAAGCCAGGUCAAGACAUGUGCUAGCCAUAUUUUAUGGCAUUUUCAUCAUCGUCAUGUUGUAUUUCCUGUUUAGAACUAAUAGAGGCAGAGAAAUAAUGGAACGUAUCAAGAAGAAACAGACUCAUGAAGCCCACAGUGACAUGGACACUGCACUCGGGAGUCCACUGAUUGCCUGACAAAUUUUCUAAUUUGUGUUUCACCAUCUGUGGGUAUGUUACAAAUAUUUCUUGUUCAUAUGUUUUUUCCUCGACACUGCUGGCUGUGUUCUGCCAUACUGUCAAUUGUUUUAGAAUUCUGAUUAAUCCAUGUACAUAUAAUGAUUUCAUUUGAUUAAAGAGGCAUUCAUUGCACCAAGACUUUGGAAUGCUCUGCCUCCACCCUUACGGACGGCUGCAUCUGUGGAUUCUUUUAAACAUCAGUUAAAAACCUACCUUUUUAGACAGGUGUUCAGCUGACCUGUCUGCACUUUUUUGUUUUUUUAUGUAAUUUUGAUUGUGUAUAAUGUUUUUAAUAUGUAAAAUGUAUGUCUUUUUAUGUCAUUAUAAAGCACUUUGUGAUUUCAUUUGUAAAAAGCUCUUCAUGAAUACAUUUUUCUUACCUACAUACUUACUUUUGUUGUAGUACUCCUCAAUACCUGUAAACAGACUGAUGUUUACAGUUUUUUCCAAUUGCUAAAACACAAUUUUGCAAACUAGGCUGGUUUUAUCAAAAUACUUAACACAAUUCACAAAACUA